AUCUGAAGUAGUCAUGCUCCACUCUGCGGCACACAAGAGACACGUGAAAAACAUUUUUACUUCUCUAAAGAUUGAAAAGAUAUCUUUCAAAUCAUUUCAUAUCAAAAUGAAUAUUUGGUCUUUUGAUCAUAAAUCAGAUCCAAGUUUAGUUUCAAGUGGUUUUAAUCCAGUAUGUGAUCUUUUUUGAUGAACCCCAGUCAGUGUCCACUGCCUGAUCUCUGCUGCAAUACCACUGUAUACCACAAGAGGGCGCAGCAGUGAACAGAAGACACAAGCAGACUGGACUGAGGCCUCUUGACCUGGACACCAGAGCUGGUCAGGGUUAGGAACACUCCCCUGAACUCCUUCCUGCCUCUUCAGGUCCAUCAGCUUUCUGCACUCCGGUCUUUGCUUUGGAUGGUGGAUUUUUAAAUUCUGUAACUUCUUUUCGGCUCCAGGACAUGAGUACCAGCAUUGACCCUGGAAGUGUCUGAAUGGAUGCUGCAGAGGAAGAGAACGGCUCACCUCUCUAUUGUUGCUGCUGCCACAGCUGAAAGCAAGGCAGCACAGAUGAGUCCCACACUCUGGAACAUUGUCCCUGCUGCUCACAUUCACCCAGUCCGGACCUCCUGGAGCCGCCGCCGCUGCUUCUGCUGUCCUCCUGAUCAGUAUCCUCCCAAACACCUGCAGGUUACAACUGUGAUAAACUCUGAGAGCAGGGUGGUGACAUCCCUGGUGAAUGCUCACACCCCCCUCCUCCUGAACCCCCCCACCAUUUACCAAUAUUCUAUGUUUCUACCA